rnacentral:rRNA from 1 species
GACGAACGCUGGCGGCGUGCCUAAUACAUGCAAGUCGAGCGGACCUCUUCGGAGGUCAGCGGCGGACGGGUGAGUAACACGUGGGCAACCUGCCUGUAAGACUGGGAUAACACCGGGAAACCGGUGCUAAUACCGGAUAAUCCUUUCCCUCUCAUGAGGGGGAGUUGAAAGACGGUUUCGGCUGUCACUUACAGAUGGGCCCGCGGCGCAUUAGCUAGUUGGUGAGGUAACGGCUCACCAAGGCGACGAUGCGUAGCCGACCUGAGAGGGUGAUCGGCCACACUGGGACUGAGACACGGCCCAGACUCCUACGGGAGGCAGCAGUAGGGAAUCUUCCGCAAUGGACGAAAGUCUGACGGAGCAACGCCGCGUGAACGAUGAAGGCUUUCGGGUCGUAAAGUUCUGUUGUUAGGGAAGAACAAGUACCGGAGUAACUGCCGGUACCUUGACGGUACCUAACCAGAAAGCCACGGCUAACUAC